rnacentral:misc_RNA from 1 species
AAAUGCGAUAAGUAAUGUGAAUUGCAGAAUUCAGUGAAUCAUCGAAUCUUUGAACGCACCUUGCGCUCCUUGGUAUUCCUUGGAGCAUGCCUGUUUGAGUAUCAUGAAAUCUUCAAAGUAAAUCUUUUGUUAACUCAAUUGGUUUCUACUUUGGUAUUGGAGGUCUUUGCAGCUUCACACCUGCUCCUCUUUGUUCAUUAGCUGGAUCUCAGUGUUAUGCUUGGUUCCACUCGGCGUGAUAAGUUAUCUAUCGCUGAGGACACUGUAAAAGGUGGCCAAGGUAUAUGCAGAUGAACCGCUUCUAAUAGUCCAUUGACUUGGACAAUACUUUUAUGAUCUGAUCUCAAAUCAGGUAGGACUACCCGCUGAACUUAAGC